rnacentral:rRNA from 1 species
GUUGUAUGGUUAAGUGACUAAGCGUACACGGUGGAUGCCUGGGCAGUCAGAGGCGAUGAAGGACGUACUAACUUGCGAUAAGCGCAGAUAAGGCAGUAAGAGCCGUUUGAGUCUGCGAUUUCCGAAUGGGGAAACCCAACUGCAUAAGCAGUUACUGUUAACUGAAUACAUAGGUUAACAGAGCAAACCGGGGGAACUGAAACAUCUAAGUACCCCGAGGAGAAGAAAUCAACCGAGAUUCCGGUAGUAGCGGCGAGCGAACCUGGAUUAGCCCUUAAGCACUCGGUGAAGUAGGUGAACAAGCUGGAAAGCUUGGCGAUACAGGGUGAUAGCCCCGUAACCGACGCUUCAUCGAGCGUGAAAUCGAGUAGGGCGGGACACGUGAUAUCCUGUCUGAAUAUGGGGGGACCAUCCUCCAAGGCUAAAUACUCCUGACUGACCGAUAGUGAACCAGUACCGUGAGGGAAAGGCGAAAAGAACCCCUGUGAGGGGAGUGAAAUAGAACCUGAAACCGUGUACGUACAAGCAGUAGGAGCACCUUCGUGGUGUGACUGCGUACCUUUUGUAUAAUGGGUCAGCGACUUAUAUUCAGUGGCAAGGUUAACCGUAUAGGGGAGCCGUAGCGAAAGCGAGUCUUAACUGGGCGCUCAGUCUCUGGAUAUAGACCCGAAACCGGGUGAUCUAGCCAUGGGCAGGUUGAAGGUUGAGUAACAUCAACUGGAGGACCGAACCGACUAAUGUUGAAAAAUUAGCGGAUGACUUGUGGCUAGGGGUGAAAGGCCAAUCAAACUCGGAGAUAGCUGGUUCUCCCCGAAAGCUAUUUAGGUAGCGCCUCGGACGAAUACUACUGGGGGUAGAGCACUGUUAAGGCUAGGGGGUCAUCCCGACUUACCAACCCUUUGCAAACUCCGAAUACCAGUAAGUACUAUCCGGGAGACACACGGCGGGUGCUAACGUCCGUCGUGGAGAGGGAAACAACCCAGACCGCCAGCUAAGGUCCCAAAGUAUUGCUAAGUGGGAAACGAUGUGGGAAGGCUCAGACAGCUAGGAUGUUGGCUUAGAAGCAGCCAUCAUUUAAAGAAAGCGUAAUAGCUCACUAGUCGAGUCGGCCUGCGCGGAAGAUGUAACGGGGCUAAGCAAUACACCGAAGCUGCGGCAAUAUCUUUUAGAUAUUGGGUAGGGGAGCGUUCUGUAAGCCGUUGAAGGUGGAUCGUAAGGUUUGCUGGAGGUAUCAGAAGUGCGAAUGCUGACAUGAGUAACGACAAAGGGGGUGAAAAACCUCCUCGCCGGAAGACCAAGGGUUCCUGUCCAACGUUAAUCGGGGCAGGGUGAGUCGACCCCUAAGGUGAGGCCGAAAGGCGUAAUCGAUGGGAAACGGGUUAAUAUUCCCGUACUUCUGACUAUUGCGAUGGGGGGACGGAGAAGGCUAGGUGGGCCAGGCGACGGUUGUCCUGGUUCAAGUGCGUAGGCUUGAGAGUUAGGUAAAUCCGGCUCUCUUUAAGGCUGAGACACGACGUCGAGCUGCUACGG